CUCACAUUGAAUCAACCCACCGUCGCUCUACCAUUUUCGACAGCCCUCACCGCCAAUAGCCCUCACCACCGUCGCCGUUAGCCCCUCCUUUCCUCACCAUCGCUGCUGUGCCGAUCGGAGAACACCACUGUAUGACUAUUCUGGGUAUGGACAGUCUUCUAGGAAGGUGUGUGGCAAUCAAAAACAUUGAAACUGGGUAUGGACAGUCUUCUGGGUAUGGACAGUCUUCUAGAAUGGUGUAUGUGUUGACUGUGUGUAGAACAUUGACAAAAUCCCAUAUGUUAAUUGUCCUGUGCUGAUUAUUCAUGUGGGCGUCCUCCACCAGAAGAGGUGGCAUGACUGUUUUGGGAAAAGUUG